AACAAAACUCAACAUGUAUCUGAGUGUGUCUUCACUAUGUCAACAAAGAAAAAAAAAUGGCGUGCGACUGAAGUAUUGUGGAUCGCAUGAUUUCAGAAAACCCUUCUAAUUUGGCGCGGAAACCCAUGUAUGGCCGUAACAACACAUCAGAAUAAACGCACUGAGGCCCAUCGCAAAGCAAGCUACGAAGCUCCACAAAGGACGGACAGCAUAUAAGAGGACGAAUUCCAAGAUCCGGACGGACAAACACCCGAGCUGUUCCAGUGCCAAACACUAGGUUUUGUAGAAGCGGCAGCCCACAAUCGUAGAAUACUAAAGGAUUCAAGAAAAGGCAAAGUAUCCUGGACAUGACGAGAAUUCCGAAAAAUAGACAAAGGUCCAGACGACGGAUACGGCAUUCUCAAGACAACAAAAUGUUAUUGAAGUAAGAAACUAAAAAUGAAGAUGAAACUGAAAAUUUAAAAGAAAAAAACAAGAUAAUUGUGGAUAUCUAGAUACAUGCUAGGUCAGCUAAAUUUUGUGUCGAUUUAGACGUACGGCUCAGUACGGUUUAGGGAAGUAAGAUGAAGGAAAAAAUAAUUCUGAAACACCACAUUUUUUGCACCCAACGUUAAGACAGAAUUAUCUAUUAUGCUUGUUAUAUAAAACUAAUCGAACACAUAAUAUGUUAUACAAAUAUUUAUAUUGAUAUUCAUAGUUUACUUGUUUUGUCA